rnacentral:sRNA from 1 species
UGAACAAAUCUCGAAACGAUACCCACUUG